GGGGGGGGGGGGGUCAGUUGGUUAUGUUUUUCAAAAGGGGCAGGUAUGUUUUGGGUUAUAAAUAGAACAGAGUUUGGACAUAAUAGGGAGCUUUUUUAAUCAAUUAGAGAUUGAGAGCUUAAGACUGAAUUUUUGAAAUAGAAAUUGAGAACUGAGAGUGAAAAUAUAGACUGAAAUUUGAGAGCGAGAUAUUCAAAACUUAUGAGUAAAAAAAAUCAGUUCGAAAGAAGACAUUAAGAGUAAGAGUUUUAGACAGCCAGCUAGUUCAAUUAAACUUGUUCCAUUGAAAAAUACCAAAAGUGCUAUUGCAUUGUUUCUCUGGUUCACAAUUUGAUCAAGUUUUCUUCUUUUUUGAUUACUGGAUUGCUGGAAGGUCACUAUUUGGUUCUCGUUUGAUUUUGGGUGUUCAAAUUAGCUCCUUAGGUUGCUUGUUUUGCUGUGUUUCUAUUGAGGUUGCCUGGGUUUGUUGGAAGCUAUUUUUGAGGUCCAAAUUACUCUUGUUUUGGUUGAUUGUGGUUGCUGGUUAUCUGUUAUUGUGCUGUUGUUGUUGUGCUUGUGUUAUUGCUGCACUACUGACCUUCCUCUCCCUCUUUGGCAUUUCCAAAUACCACGUACACGACUCUUAUACUGGUACAAUAUAGCUGGAACUGUUCGAAGCACGAGUAAAAGUGAGCCUUAAGGCUCGUACUUAUUAGUUUUUUUAGAUUCUGUAUAUGUAUAUGAUAGCUUUAGCUCAUUAGAAUGGCGUGGUUAAUUGCAAUGUAUCAAGAGGCUCAAUCUGUAAUAAAUCCAAGUUCAGUCAUGUAUGCUAGUUAGGAAAGAACAAUGAAUUAGCAUGUCCAUGUAGGCUCAAUCUUUAAUAAUUCAAGUUUAGACCCAUGUAUGCUAGUUAGGAAAGAACAAUGAAUUAGCAUGUCCAUUCUUCCGUUUUUUUGUUUUCAUUUCAGUUAUAGCAUAUUCAAGCAUGUAUUAGACUCCAAGUUACAUAAUUGGUAGAUCAUGUUCUUAGUUAAUAAUUUGACCAUUUAGCUUCAUAAAAACAGUAUUCCUUAACUUUAAUUUCUUUCCACCAUAUCGCAAACUCGGAAAAGAGUAUAGUACUAUGUAACUGGGCCCAAAUAGAGUAGGAUGGCCCAGACCCAGUCUUACAUCACUCACGUCUGGCCUAGGCCCAAAAACUGUUCUGCUACUCUUUCCCCCCUUUUCAUUGCUAAAUUGAUACCAUGUUUAUAACUUAGGCUAAUAAUUUUAGCAUGUAAAUAAUAUAGGAUUUUCUUUUCAUUUUAGAGAUGCAAAUAAAAAAAAUUAGAAAAGAUUAGUUGCUUCAGUACAUCCUUUAAAAUGAAAUAGGGCGUGCCUCGCCAAAACAAAUAGCAAAUCGCAGGUCCCUCAUAAAUGUAUAUAUUAACUACUUAGAUUUCGGGAGGGGCCGUUUAGUGAAUUUCACGGCCUUUCCCAAAAAUAAUAGUAUUAGGUGCGUGCUAUGUAAUCUUAGGUUCUUAAACUCGGGUGUGCAUUUCAUGCGACCCAAAUCCAAAUCCCAAAACGUGGAAUCAGAUGUGUUCAGGAUUGCGGGUUCAUUUCGUGCGGCGCAAUCCAAAGACAUGUCUCAGACGAUGUUCAAUUUUCUUUAAUAAAUUAAAUAAAAGUGAUUAAAAGUUAAAAUAGGCACAUAAGUUACAACAUGUAUAAAAUCAGAUAAAUAAGCUAAACAUGACAGUUGAGCGACCGUGCUAGAACCACAGAACUCGGAAAUGCCUAACACCUUCUUCCGGCUUAAUCGAAUUCCUCAUUCGGAUUUCUUGUUCGCGGAUUGUUAAACAGAGUCAUUCUUUCCUUGAUUCGGGAUUCAACUGGUGACUUGGGACACCAUAAAUCUUCCAAGUGGCGACUCUGAAUCUUAAUAUCGAAUCUCGUUUUUUUUGUCCUUUAAUUGGAAAAAACUCCCUUGCCCCUUGCGGGGCAGUAAAAAGGAGGUGUGACAAAAAGAAAAUUAGAGCAAUAACUCAAGUAGUGAUUUAAGUAUUGUUUUUCAGAGUAAAGGAGCAAAACAAGAAAAUGAUCCCCCCAAAUAUAUUCUGUUUGUUCUGCACCAAUCAGUACAAUAACUAGUAGUAAUUCUUAGCCUUCCCUGUAAGAGGAAGAUUACAGAAAAUAAGUCACCACACAUUACAUUUCAUUUUUUCUGUACGAUAACUAGUUAUUUUGUACCACCCGCCGACUAAGAUUAAUAGUGGCAGCCAAAAGAGAAAUCUAUAUCAGAAGGAAGUAAAGUGCCAUUCGCCGUGCAACUACUAUACACUUCAUAAGCAAUGAAUUAUCAAAGAUAUCUGAAACAGAAUACACAAAAUAAAACUUGUAACAUGACGAGCUUCAAAUAUGUUUAGAAACAAAGUAACACAUAAAAUGCGACGAGUAAAAUUAUCAGCAAAAUUGGUACUUUUAAAACAAAAUGCAGUAGAAAUGAUACUCCUACAGCUAGCUUAUAGAGAUAUGAACCUUAUGCAAUAGUAAACAAGCAACUGCUAUACCAAGAAUUAGACAUCAUUAGUUGUUCCCAAGUUGCUAAUUUAAGCCACAAUUGCAGCAUCAAUUGCAAUAAAGAUGAGUAAGAACACAAGAUCCAAACAACCAGAAAACCAAAAAAAAAAGUAGAAUCUCCAUAUAUAUACAACAAUUUGCUCUAACUCUCCCAACUUUGAAUUUUUCUAUUUAUGUUUUAGAACAUUGUCGACCUCAACAAUGGAGUUUUGAAGGGUAUUUGUCACUUUAAUUCCUCCCAAAUAGCAGCAAACUUAAUAUUCAGUACAAAAUAAACAUUAAAUAAAAUUUUGGCUCAAAGAAUUAAAACCCAAUUUCUCAAACUCCAGUUUUACUAAAACCCAAAAUUUAAGCAAAGAUUCUUUGAUUUUUUAUCAUAGAUUUUUCACGUAAUUCUCAAAUCUUCACGGGUUUAGUGAAAUAAUUGGAGGAAAAUUAAAUCCUCUUUUAUACAAAGAACCGUCCCCACAGAGUUAUUUUACCAAAUUGUCUCCAUAGACAAGUAUGCGACAACGAUUAUUUUACAACUGCAACGGUUUAGUUUUAGUAUUGUCUUAAUAGGCUCAAGAUAAUAUUGGGACGGUUAUAACCCUUGCAAUAGACCAUCUAUUUCAAGGGUUUUAUAACUGUUGCUAAAUAAUCGAUGCAAUAGGCUUAUUUUCUAGUAGUGAGACCUUAUUUGGACUUGUUCAUGAUAGUCUUUAUUGAUGAUAUUCUGAAAUACUUCCGCAGCUAGGAGGAGCACGAGUAGCACCUCAGAGUGCUUCUUCAAACUCUGAAGGAUAUUCAGCUAUAUGCAAAAAAAAAUUAAGUGUGAGUUCAAUUACAUUUUUGGAUCAUGUUGUAUCAGCAGAGGGUAUUCAUGUGGACCCAAAGAAGAUUAAGGCAGUCAAGAACUGUCCUCGACAAGCAUCAGCUACAGAGACUCGAAGUUUCUUGGGGUUGACAGGCUACUAUCCUCGGUUCAUGGAGGGAUUCUCGUCUAUUGCAGCCUCGGUGGCCAGGUUGACCCAGAAGGAUGCCUAGGUCAGAUGGUCGGAUGAGUGUGAGGUGAGCUUUCAGAAUCUCAAGACAGUUCUGACUACGAUACCGAUAUUGGUUUUUCCCACAGGUUCAGGACCUUAUAUAGUCUAUUGUGAUGCUUCCCGCAUUGGGCUUGGUGCAGUAUUGAUGCAGGAUGGAAAAGUCAUCGCCUAUGCUUCGAGGCCGUUGAAGAUCCACGAUAAGAAUUAUCCGGUUCAUGAUCUAGAGUUGGUAGCCAUUGUACAUGCGUUGAAGAUUUGGAUGCAUUAUCUAUAUGGUGUGACGUGUGCGGUGUACACUGAUCACAAGAGCCUUCAGUACUUGUUCAAGCAAAAGGGGUUGGAAUUGAGGCAGAGGAGGUGGUUGGAGUUGUUGAAAGAUUAUGAUGUUACUAUCUUCUAUCACCCGGGGAAGGCCAAUGUAGUGGCCGAUGGGUUGAGUAGGAAGUCAACCCGCAUGUGUAGUCUUGCCUAUAUUCCGGUUAGCUAAGACCGCUUGAUUUGGAUGUUCAGGCCUUGGCCAACCGAUUUGUAAGGUUGGAUAUUUCUAAGCCUAGUCGGGUGUUAGCGUGCACGAUCGCUCGUUCUUCAUUAUUGGAACAUAUUCGUGAUCGGCAGUUUGAUGCUCUGCAUUUGUGUGUCCUGAGAGACACAGUGUAGCCUGGAGGUGCCAAGUCAGUGAGCUUAGAUGAUGAUGGUGUUGUGAGAUUACAGGGGUGAGGUUGUGUGACCAAUGUGGAUGGGAUUCGAGCGUUGAUCUUAAUAGAGGCCAUUAGUUCUCGAUAUUCUAUUUACCCGGGCGCUGCGAAGAUGUAUGAGGAUCAGAGGCAACAUUAUUGGUAGUGUGGAAUGAAGAAAGAUAGUGUGGAAUAUGUGGCUCGAUGUUUGAACUAUAAGUAGGUUAAGUAUGAGCAUUAGAGACCUGGUGGCUUAUUUCAGAGCAUUGAAUUUCUCGAGUGGAAGUGGGAGAUGAUUUCCAUGGAUUUCGUUACUGGACUUCCAUUGACCCGGAAGAAGUUUGAUGCAGUUUGGGUCAUUGUUGAUAGACUGACCAAGUCAAUGCAUUUCAUUCCUGUGGCAGUCUCCUAUUCAUCCGAGAGGUUAGCUGAGAUCUAUAUCCGGGAGAUUGUUCGCCUUCAUGGCGUGCCAGUAUCUACCAUUUUGGAUCGAGGUACGUAGUUUACCUUAUGUUUCUGUAGAGCAGUUCAGCAAGAGUUAGGCACCCAGGUGGAGUUGAGUACAAUAUUUCAUCCUCAGAUGAACGGACAGUCAGAGUGGACUAUAUAGAUAUUGAAGGAUAUACUCCGAGCUUCUGUUAUUGACUUUGGAGAUUCAUGGGACCGGUGUUUUUGCCUUUAGUAGAGUUUGCCUACAACAACAGCUACCAGUCCAGCAUCCAUAUGGCUCCUUAUGAGGUGUUGUAUGGUAGGCGGCGUUGAUAUCCAAUCGAAUGGUUUGAGCGGGGGGAGUUUCGGUUAUUGGGGUACGAAUUUGGUUCAGGAGGCCUUGGACAAGUUUAAUAUCAUUAAGGAUAGGCUUCGUACAGCUCGAUCCGGGCAAAAAAAUUAUGCAGAUUGCAAGGUUCCAGAUGUGACUUUCAUGGUUGGUGAGCGAGUAUUGCUCCGAGUGUCACUUAUGAAGGGUGUGAUGGGAUUUGGUAAAAAGGGAAAGCUUAGCCCUAGAUUCAUUGGUCCGUUUGAGAUUCUUGAUCGAGUGGGAGAGGUGGCUUAUAGACUUGCUUCUUUUUCUUCUUCUUCUUCUUCUUCUUCUUCUUCUUCUUCUUCUUCUUCUUCUUCUUCUUCUUCUUCUUCUUCAGGUGACAGUAAUUUUAUAUGGUGUUGGUGAACAUACUUUAAGGUAUUUUAUAAUAUUUGUGUAUAUUAGGAUUUUUCCCUAAUUUGAUUUAUGAAAACCUCUUGUUGAUAUCCACCAUAUAUUUAUACAUAUUCUCCGGUCAUGGAGGAAACUUUCUAGUUCAGAGCUUGAGUGAAAUUGUAAAUAAGGGAAUUAUACCACGUAUUUUACACAUGUUAAUCUCAUAUAUUUACUAUGUUUCAUUUUUAUUCACUUCUCUACUGCAUUUGAUAUUAUUGGAACACCGGUAAGUGUCGAAGUCGAUCUCUCGUCAUUACUUCUUCAAGGUUAUACGGGAUACUUACUGGGUAUAUGUUAUUUUCGUACUCAUACUACGCUUGCUGUGCAGUUUUUUUGCACAUGCAUAGGUAUGUACAGUGGCCUCAUUGGGCGCAACGACAUUGUUGAUACGAAGACUUAGAUGGGCUGCAUCUAUCGAGACGACUCGCGGCCAACAGAGUCUCCUUCAGAGUAUUGUAUUGUAUUUUUUUUCUAUCUAUUUUGUAUUCAGGAGAGUUAUUGUAUGAUAUUGACUUCCUAGAAACUGCUCAUGCACUUGUGACACCGGGUUAUGGGAUGGUUAUGGGGUACUCAAUAUUAAAAUGUAAACGUUUUUUUGUUCUGUAAAGAUUAUCUUUACUAGUUAAACGGAAGGAAAAUUAUACUUUUCAAAAUUAUUAAUACAAGAACUAAAUUAACUUCUUUGUGUUGGCUUGCCUGACAGUGGUAUUCGGCGCCAUCACGACCCUUAGUGAAUUUUGGAUCGUGAAAUUCCAGUCCAUCAUUAGCAUCUAUUCCCAGUAUAUCUAGGUUGGAUAUUGGAGGCUCUUACUCAGCUACAUCUAGUGCUAUUUCUGCAUCAUCUAGUAGACGGAGGCAGAAUCUUGGAGGGAAUGUACAAUUUGAUAACUAUUAUCAAUUGAUAAUCGAUCCCUACAAGGAUGGGUAGGAAUGUUCUUAAGAGUUAACAAGCAAAGGCAAAUAGUGCCUCCAAUAAAGGUGGCUCGUUGCACACAGGAUGUUCGAUUAGUUUUGCGGCCCAUAAACUAAGAUUGCUAAUUACUUAUUAAUUUUUCUUAGUUUUAGAUAUAGAGUUUUACGAUUGUAAUGUCUAACUCAUACUUUUUAUUAUGAAAAAAAAGGAAAGAGGGUGCAAGAGAACAUUGGGUAGAGACGCGUGCGUCAGACACAUAUGUAAAAUUUUAACUUCAUAAUUAUUGAUUUUAUUAAUAUUAGUUUAUUUACAUAAUAGUUAUGUUUUCAUUUCAUGAAGAUUAUAAUAAAAUGGUGGAAGAAUGAUAAAAAACUCAAUCUCCUUAACUCAACCAACACCUGAUGAUAUGACUUCAUUGUGGACAGAACCAGUGGGUGAGUAAACAAAGGAAGAGUCUAAGUACUUGGAGUACGUCACCUACAGGCCAUCCAAACCCACUCUUAGUGUAAUGACCCUAAAACUGACUCAAUCGUGAUGGCACAUAUCAUGAAACUUUGUCAGCCGACACGAUUCCCAAAUCAAAAUAUUAUUCUAUAAAAGUCGUUUUUAAGCCAUUAGUUAAUAAGAAAUCUCAUAGUAUAAGUCCAAAUAACCAGUGCAGAAUAAAUACACAAGCCCGACAUAGGAAUUUCAUAAGUCACGAGCAUCUACUAAGGUCGGAAUAUAACAAAUAGUCUAACAAUAUACUUAAAACACUCUAAGGAAGACAUCUGGGAGAAGAGCAGGGCUGCGAACGACGGGAAGCUACCUUGCUAACUCCGUUGACUCUGCCAUUGAGAAAUCAACACUCGCUACCGGGUUUAGAAAUACAUGAAUCUGCACAUAAGGUGUAGGGAGUAAUGUGAGUAUGCCAACUCAGUAAGUAAUAAAAGCAAAUGAAAGUUGAGGAGCAAGAAAACAUAUAAACCACGUCAUAACACUACAACAAAUUGUAACGACCCGACCUAUCGUCACGUGAGUUACCGCCUUGUUUUCCCCGUUUUAUGAUUUUAUAUGUUUCAUUACAUGUGUUUGGAGAAUUUGAAGUAAUUCUGAUAGAGUUCGGUUAGAAAUGGGACAAUUAGUCUCUUUAUGAGAAGGUUGGUUUGAAAAAGUCAAUCGAAUGUUGACUUAUGAGUUAGAGGGCUCAUAAUGGAUUUUCGAUAAUUCGACUAGUUUUGGGUGAUGAUUUUUCAAUUAAGAGCGCAAUCAGAAUUGAAUUUGGAGGCCCAGUGUAAAAUUAGGCUUGAAUUUGCUAAGUUUGAAUUUUGGCAAAUUCCGGUUGAUAGGUGAGAUUUUGAUCCGGGGGUCGGAAUGAAAUUCCGAAAGUUGUAGUAGCUCCGUUAGGUGAUUUUGGAUAUGUGUGCAAAGUUUCAGGUCAUUUGGAGGUGUUUAGGUCGGGUUUUUUUAUCAAAUGCAAGUUUCGAAAGUUUUAGUUUGACUUAGGCUUGAAUCCGUGGUAAUUUGAUGAUUUUGAUAUUUAUGAUAGUGUUUUAGGCUAUGAGAAAGUUUGAAUGAAGUACUAGAACAUAUAUGUUCAUUAAGUUGAGGUCCUGAGGGCCUCGGGGUGAUUUCGGACGGCUAACGGGGAAUUUUGAAUAAGAAAAUGCACCAAAAAAUGCAGCAGAGAAUUUACUCUAUGCGAUCGCAUAGGUAGGUCUGCGAUCACACAGAAGGUUUUGGAGGGGCCAUGUAUUUUCCCUAUGUGAUCGCAUGAGAGGCCGUAAGAUCGCAUAGGGGUCGGACUUUGUUCAGUGCGUUCGCACUUUGGGUGAUGCGAUCGCGUAGUGAAAUUUGGACCUGGGGUCCGUGGUAAUUUUUGUUCUAUGCGAACGCAAGGUAGGUUAUGCUAUCACAUAAAAGGGGCUCAUUGUGCCUUGUGAUCGCAGAGCUUUUCAUGUGAUCGCAUAAGAGGAAUUUUAGGGGGUCUAAAUUUGGCCUAUACGAUCGCAAUGGGUUUGAUGCGAUCGCAUAGAGGAAUAUCUGGGCGGACAGAAUGUAUUAAGGGUUAAUUCAUUUGCGACCCGCUUAAUAUUUUCACCAUUUUUACUCCACCAAGAGAGCAUUUUGAGCGAUUUGAAUAGGAGUUUCGACGGGUAUUGAUUGGAGGUAAGUCUCUUGACUUAAAAACACCAUUUUUAUGAAGAAUCAACCCNNNNNNNNNNNNNNNNNNNNNNNNNNNNNNNNNNNNNNNNNNNNNNNNNNNNNNNNNNNNNNNNNNNNNNNNNNNNNNNNNNNNNNNNNNNNNNNNGAAAGCGGAGUUCAAAUGGCAUUUAAAUCCAUGAAAUUGUUUGAAAUUGUGAAGAACUAGGGCUUGGUUUUUGAAAAUGAAUUUUUAGGAUUUGAAAUGCCAUUUGAACUCCGCUUUCGAUAAAUUUUAUAUGUACGGACUCGUGGUGAGACGAGGAAUCCGUUGAUCUGACUUUUGUAAUUUUUUUAGAAGUGGGCCCGGGGAUCGAGUUUUACCAACUUCGUGAAUUUUAAUACUUUUCGAGCAUUUUUGAUUGGGUUAUGUUUCUUUAACCCAUAUUUAUAUAUUCGUUGUGAUUUUGACUAGAUUUGACGCGAGAGGAGGUUGAUACAAGAAGAAAAGACAUUGCGGACCAGUCUACAGCCGGUUAAAGAUGAGUAGUUUGUAUAGAUGAUAGCCUCAGGGUUUGAAACCCCGGUUUAUCACAUUGCGGCACUAUAUUAGGGCGUGACUCACACCCCAUGGGAGGUGCAUGAUCGUCUAUUAUUGGGGAUCACGACUUGGUCCAUCCUGAGUGCUAAAUAUAAUUUAUUAGCGGCUGAUACGCACAUUAUAUUGUUGAAAUUGGGCUUAUUGCGAUAUCUAUGGCCUUGUGCCGAUUUAUAGCAUCCGUCUAGGAUGAAUAUCAUGGUGAUAGCAUGAUUUGUAUAAUCAUUUAUCUCAGUCCUAUGUUUAAUCACUGUUAUAAAAUGCUAAGUCACUUUUCCUGAAGUUAGAUAAUUAAGUUAUAUUUCCUUAUAAUGGGAAACUGAAAAUUUAAUUAAAUCUGUUAUGUUGACUCAUAUGCAUGCUGUGGACUGAGUAUGGAUCAGGAUGCACGCCGCAGUGAUGAUAUGAUGAUAUUGCACUUGGGCUGUAUGAGCCCCUCCGGAGUCUGUACACACCCCCUGUGGCCACAGGGUGCCCAAAUGGAUCGGGCUACGCGUCGUAUCGGUCAUGUGCAUUGCAUUCACGCAUUCACUCCUGUUUAUUGUCAGUAUUGAUAUUCAAUUAACUGAUUUUGAGCUUCAUGCUCGGGUUGUGAGUGUAACUGGUCGGGCUUGCCUAGCAGUGUGUUGGGCACCAUCAUGACCGAGAUUGGGUUCGUGACAAUCCUCCUGAAAGGUAUAUAUGUGUUAAAAUCACAUGUUCGCAAAAGAAAUUAUCCAGAAGGAUCUAUUUGUUAACUGGAUCGAGCUGUACACCGCAGCGGGUUUAUGUAUAUUGCAUUGAAUUCUUGCAUUUUACUUGACUGAUAUACUUGAUAUUGCUUUGCAUUUGGUUCAUAGUUAAGGUGUCGGACUGUUAGUUUUAGCUUGCGGCAUUUCGAGGAUUUCUUAUCUUCAAACCUUUUAUAUGCUUAUUACUCACUGAGUCUGUAGUACUCACCCCUACUCCCUGUACCUUGUGUGCAGAUUCAGAUGCACCGGAGGCUUAGCUGAGUAGUCGUUGUCUCUAGAGAUUUUUCAGAGUUAUUGAGGUAGCUUCUUGACGUUCGCAGGACCUGCUACUCUUCUUAUUUCAGUUUUAUUUAUAUAUACUUUCCAGACUUGUGUAUUUGUUCAGAUACUUUAUCCAGGUUUGUUUAGAGACUCUAGACUCGUGACCCCAGAUCUUAUGGGAGUGUCUUAGCAGUUAUUCAAAUUUCUUCGUAUUAUUUUACUAUAAAUAUUGGAUUAUUAUUCUAAAACUAUUACGUUUUUCCUUAAAUUGUCGGUUUUGAGAUUUAUUAUCGAAAUGAGAGCGAUUGUUGGUCAGGCUUGCCUAGCGUUAUAGUUGGGUGCCAUCACGACCGGGUUUGGGUUGCGACAAGUUGGUAUCAGAGCCAAGGUUACUAGGCCUCAUGAGUCAUGAGCCGGUUUAGUGGAGUCUAGCGGAUCGGUACGUAGAUGUCCGUAUCUAUCUUCGGGAGGCUACAAAACCUUUAGAAAACAUGUCACUUCCUUGAAAUUCUUAUCGUGCAGCUUUGUUGAUAUGAAAACUAAAUUUCUGUAUUCUAUUCUCUCGCAGAUGGUGAGAACCCGUGCUAACGGACGUGGCGGACGACCACCAGUACCACCUGCUAGAGGCCAUGGACGCGGUCAUGGUGCUGGUCGUGGUGGACCAGUAGGGGCAGCACCUGCAUACCCACCAACUACCUAGGUCCAGGACUAGAUUCCGGCUGUAGAUGCUCAAGCAGCACAUGUUUAGGCACCGGCAGUGUCUAUUGUAAUUCCUGGUCUUCAGGAGGCUUUGGCUCAGAUCUUAUCCAUUUGCACUGGCCUGGCUCAGGCGGUUUCAGCCACUACAGCGGCGGCUACUUCUCAGACCGAGGGUGGUCAUCAGAUCCCCGAUGCUCACACAUUCGAGCAGGUUAUUCAGGGCUUACAGACACCUAAGGUAGCCCCAGUUCAGCCAAUUGCACUAGUUGCAGUAGUUGUUCCAGUUGCGCCAGUCGCACCAGCUCCAGCUCAUGUGGUUCCAGCUAUGUUGGAUGACGAGCAACGUCGAUUGGAGAUGUUCGGUAGACUCCAGCCUCCGUCAUUCAGUGGUGCUGAGGGUGAGGAUGCCCAGGGUUUUCUGGAUAAGUGCCAGUGUAUGCUUCGUACUGCAGGUAUUCUGGAGUCCAGUGGAGCGGCUUUACUACCUUCCAGUACACAGCGCCUGCAUUUACUUGGUGGGAGGAGUUUGAGAGGCGUAGGCCUAUUGGGGAAGCAUCCCUCACUUGGUAGUAGUUCUCCACGGUAUUUUUGGAGAAGUACGUGCCCUAGUCUCAUAGGGAGGAGUUGCAUCGUCAGUUCGAGUGGUUGACUCAUAGAGAUAUGACAGUGACUCAGUAAGAGUUAAGGUUUACACAACGAUCUCGGUAUGAUCCUUGGAUGAUCCCUAUUGACCGAGAGAGGAUCAAAAGGUUCAUGUACGGCCUCAAAUAUCCGAUCAGCAUAUUGAUGACUAGAGAGAGGGCUACAGUAGCUACAUUUGAGGAGGUAAUUGAUGCUGCUCGGCUGAUUGGGACAGACCGCCAUUGGGAGCGUAUGGAGACGGAGGCCAAGAGGCCUCGAGGUUCAGGUAAUUUCAGUGAUGCUCCAUCUAGGGGCCAGUUCCAGCAUGGUAGAGGUCGUUACUUUAGAACUCCUCAGCCAGGUCAUAUAGAGUCUAGUGGGGCCUCUUCAGGCCGGGGUCAUCAGGUACAUAAGUAGAGCCAGCCGACACUGAGUGCCCUCCUAGCUCAGAUCUUUGCUCCUGCUUCUUCAGCCCAGGGUUCAUCUACAGUGAGGGGUUCCCAUCAGUCCCCUUCUCCAGCUCCAGGUCGUUGCUACGAGUGCGGUCAGUUGGGUCAUAUGAGGUUACAGUGUCCUCAGCUCCAUAGAGACAGUAUCAGCAGAGGUAUUAGACCUUGUCUUCUGCUUCGGUUUCUUCGGCUCCCACUCAGUUAGCUAAAGGUGGAGGCCAGGAAGCCAGAGGUCUCCCCAGGGGUGAGGACCGUACCGGCGGUGGUCAGGAUCGAUUCUAUGCUCUUCCAGAUAUGAAGCAAGCUAUUGCAUCUGAUGCUAUCAUCAUAGGUAUUAUCUCAGUCUGCCACAGGGAUGCUUCCGUCUUAUUUGAUCCCGGACCUACCUAUUCCUAUGUAUCUUCAUAUGAUGCUCAUCAUUUGGGUGCGGCCCGUGGUUGUCUUGCCUUUCCUAUACACGUAUCUACCCUGGUGGGUGAUACUAUUAUUGUGGACCAUGUAUAUCGAUCGUGUCUGGUGACCAUUGGGGGUUUGGAGACCUUAGUUGACUUGUUAUUAUUGGGCAUGGUAGAUUUUGACGUGAUUCUGGGUAUGGAUUGGAUAUCUCCGUACCAUACUAUUCUGGAUUAUCACGCUAAGACAAUUUUGUUGGCUAUUCUGGGUAUUUCGAGGAUCAAGUGGCGAGGUGUGAUUGAUCCAUCAGGGUGAUUUCCUUCCUAAAAGCCCAAAAGAUGGUUGGGAAAGGUUGUUUGUCAUACUUGGCUUUCGCGAGAGAUGUGGGAGCUGAGGCUCCUAGUUUUGAUUCGGUUCCCGUUGUUAGGGAUCUCCCUAAUAUGUUCCCAGCAGACCUGUUGGGUAUGCCACCAUACAAGGACAUUGAUUUCGGUAUUGAUCUGGUGCCGGACAUUCAGCCCAUGUCUAUCCCUCCCUAUCGUAUGGCACCAGUGGAGCUAAAGGAGUUGAAACACAACUUCAGGAACUCCUAGAUAAGGGGUUCAUUCGCCUGAGUGUGUCUCCUUGGGGUGCACUGGUGUUAUUUGUAAAGAAGAAGGAUGGCACAAUGAGAAUGUGCAUUGACUACAUGCAGCUGAAUAAGGUGACAAUGAAGAACAAGUACCCACUACCCCGUGUUGAGGAUUUGUUUGAUUAGCUCCAGGGAGCAAGGGUAUUCUCUAAGAUUGACCUCCGAUCAGGCUAUUACCAGCUGAAUAUUAAGGAUUCAGACAUUAUGAAGACGACUUUUAGGACGAGAUAUGGGCACUACGAGUUUCUAGUGAUGCUUCGGGCUGACUAAUGCCCCAGCCGCGUUCAUGCACUUGAUGAACAAUGAAUUUUGUCUGUAUAUGGAUUCUUUCAUGAUCGUGUUUAUUGAUGAUAUCCUGGUGUACUCACGUAGCCAGGAGGAGCACGCGCAACACUUGAGGGUGGUAUUGCAGAGAUUGAAAGAGGAGAAGCUUUAUGUGAAGUUCUCGAAGUGUGAAUUCUGGCUUAGUACUGUGGCUUUUCUGGGACACGUGGUGUCCAACGAUGGUAUUCAGGUUGACCCAAAGAAGAUUGAGGCGGUGCAGAGUGUGCCCAGACCGUCCUCAGCUACUGAGAUUCGGAGUUUCCUCGGCUUGGCAGGUUAUUACUGCAGAUUCGUUUAGGGAUUUUCAUCUAUUGCUUUGACUUUGAUGAAGUUGACACAGAAGAUAGCUCCAUUUGUGUGGUCGGAUGAACGCGAGGAGAGCUUCUAGAAACUUAAGUUAGCUUUGACGACAGCUCCGGUACUAGUAUUGCCAUCACCUACAGGUUCUUGCGUGGCGUAUUGUGAUGCUUCGAGAGUUGGUAUCGGUUGUGUAUUAUUUUAGGAGGGUAGAGUUAUUGCUUAUGCUUCUCUUCAGUUGAAGCCCCACGAGAAGAACUACCCUGUUCAUGACUUAGAGUUGGCUGCUAUUGUUCAUGCCUUAAAGAUUUGGAGGCACUAUCUAUAUGGCGUAUCUUGUGAGGUAAAUACGGAUCAUCGCAGUGUUUAGAACUUAUUUAAGCAGAAGGAUCUUAAUUUGAGACAGCGGAGGUGGCUUGAGUUACUUAAGGACUAUGAUAUCACCAUUUUGUAUCAUUCGGGGAAAGCCAAUGUAUUGCCUGAUGCUUUGAGCCCGAAGAUAAUUAGUAUGGGUAGCUUGACGUACAUCCCAGUUGGUGAGAGGCCCCUUGCAGUGGAUGUUCAGGCAUUGGCCAAUCAGAUGGUGAGGUUAGAUAUUUUUGAGCCCAGUCGGGGUGUUGGCUUGUGUGGUUUCCCGAUAUUCUUCUGCAUUUGCUUGUCCGGAAGGACAGGGUUCAGCAUGAUGAUGCCAUAGAUGUGACCAUUGGAGAUGAUGGUGUAUUGCGGAUGCAUCGCCGAAUUUGCGUGCCCAAUGUAGAUGGUCUCCGAGAGUUAAUAUUAGAGGAGGCCCUUAGCUCGUGGUAUUUGAUUCAUCCGGGUGCCGCGAAGAUGUACCAGGAUUUUAGACAGCAUUACUGGUGAAGGAGGAUGAAAAAGGAUAUUGUGAAUUAUGGGGCUCGGUGUCUCAAUUGUCACCAUGUCAAAUAUGAGCACCAGAGACCCGGUGGCGCAUUCCAGCGGUUGGACAUUCCGGAGUGGAAAUGGGAGAAUAUUACUAUGGAUUUUGUGAGUGUUCUUCCUCGUACCUCGAAGAAGCUUGAUUCAAUUUGGGUAAUCGUGGAUAGACUGACCAGGUCUGCGCACUUCAUUCUGGUAUGCACUACCUAUUUCACGGAGAAGUUAGCGGAGAUUUUCAUUCGGGAGAUUGUACAGUUGCAUGGGGUCCCGGUUUCCAUUGUUUCAGAUAGGGGUACUGAGUUUACUUCCCAGUUAUGGAGGACUUUUCAUCAGGAGUUGGGCAAACAGGUACAGUUGAGCACGACAUUUCAUCCUUAGACGGACGGGCAGUCCGAGCGUACUAUCCAGAUAUUGGAGGAUAUGCUGCGUGCCUUUGCCAUUGAUUUUGGAGGUUCUUGGGCUGAGUUCUUACCACUUGCAGAGUUUGCCUAUAAUAACAGCUAUCAAUCCACCAUCCAGAUGGCACCGUAUGAGGCCUUAUAUGGGAGAUGGUGUAGAUCUCUGGUUGGUUGGUUUGAGCCUGGCGAGGCUAUAUUAUUGGGGAUAGAGUUAGUUUAGGAUACCUUAGAGAAGGUGAAAGUGAUCCAGGAGAAACUUCGUACAGCUCAAUCGCGUCAGAAGAGUUAUGCGGACCGAAAGGUUCUUGGCCUCCAGGUAUGUUCUUGGCCCGCUCGAGGAAAAGCAUCUGUUUAAGUUGGGGAGGAUGUAACGACCCAACCCUUCAUCACGUGAGUUACCACCCCGUUUUCCCUGUUUUAUGGUUUUAUAAGCUUCAUUAUAUGUGUUUGGAGAAUUUGAAGUAAUUCGGAUAGAAUUCGGUUAGAAAUGAGACAAUUAGUCUCUUUAUGAGAAGGUUAGUUUGGAAAAGUCAGGAGAAUGUUGACUUAUGAGUUAGAGGAUGUGGAACGGAUUUUCGAUGAUUCGACUAGUUUCGGAUGGUGAUUUGUGACUUAGGAGUGCAAUCGGAAUUGAAUUUAGAAGUAUGGUGUAGAAUUGACUUGAAUUGGCUAUGUUUGAAUUUUGGCGAAUUUUGAUUGAUAGGUGAGAUUUUGAUCUGAUGGUCGGAAAGGAAUUUCAACAGUUGCAGCAGCUCCGUUAGGUGAUUUUGGAUGUGCGUACAAAAUUUAGUUGAUUCGGAGGUGUUAAGGUUGGGUUUUUGAUCGGGUGGGAGUUUUGGAAGUUCUAGUUAAACUUAGGCUUUGAUUUGAUGAAAUUUGAUGGUUUUGAUGUUGAAGGUAGUGUUUUAGUGGCUCGAGCAAAACUUAUGAGUUAGAGGGUUCGGAAUGUAUUUUCGAUGAUUCGACUAGUUUCGGGUGAUGAUUUCUAACUUCGGAGUGCAAUAAGAAUUGAAUUUGGAGGCCAGGUGUAGAAUUAGGUUUGAAAUGGGUAAAUUUGAAUUUUGGAGAAUUCCGAUUGAUAGGAGAGAUUUUGAUUCGGGGGUCAGAAUGGCAUUCCGAGAAUAGUAGUAGAUCUGUUAGGUUAUUUUCGAUAUGCGUGCAAAUUUUCAAGUCAUUCGGAGGUGCUUAGGUCGGGUGUUUGAUCAAAUUCAAGUUUCGGAAGUUUUAGUUAGACUUAGGCUUGAAUCCGUAGUAAUUUGAUGAUUUUAAUGUUUAUGAUAGUGUUUUUAUGCAAUGAGAAAGUUUUAAUGAAGUAAUAGAACAUAUUUGUGCAUUUGGUUGAGGUUCCGAGGGCCUCGGGGUGAUUUCGGGUGGCUUACGGAGAAUUUUGAAUAAGAAAAUGCAGCAGAAAAAUGCACCAGAGAAUUUACUCUAUGCGAUCGCAUAGGUAGGUCUGCUAUCGCAUACAAGAUUUUGGAGGGGCCAUGGAUUUGCCCUAUGCGAUCGCGUGAGAGGAUGUGUGAUCGCGUAGGUGUGAGAAUUUGUUCAGUAUGUUUGCACUCCGGGUGAUGCGAUCGCAUAGUGCAAUUUGGACCUGGUGUCCCUGGAAAUUUUUGUCGUUGCGAUUGCAGAGCUUUUGAUGCGAUCACGUAAGAGGAAUUUUAGGGGGUCUGAUUUUGGCCUAUGCGAUCGCGUGAGAGGAUGUGCGAUCGCAUAGGUGUGGGACUUUGUUCAGUGCGUUCGCACUUUGGGUGAUGCGAUCGCGUAGUGCAAUUUGGACCUGGUGUCCCUGGCAAUUUUUGUCCUUGCGAUGGCAGAGCUUUUCAUGCGAUCGCAUAAGAGGAAUUUUAGGGGGUCUGAUUUUGGCCUAUGAGAUCGCAAUGGGUUUGAUGCGAUCGUAUCAAGGAAUAUCUACGCGGACAGAAUGUUUUAAGGGUAAAUUCAUCCACGACCCACAUAAUUUUUUCACCAUUUUUACUCCACCAAGAGAGCUUUUUGAGCGAUUUGAAGAGAUUUUCCACGGGUAUUGAUUGGAGGUAAGUCUCUUGACUUAGAAACACCAUUUUUAUGAAGAAUCAACCUCAAAUCCAUGAAAAUAGGUUGAAAUUGUGAAGAACUAGGGCUUGGUUUUUGAAUACGAAUUUUAGGAUUUGAAAGCCAUUUGAACUCCGUUUUCGAUAAACUUUAUAUGUACACACUCAUGGCGAGAACAUGAAUCCAUUGAUGUGACUUUCAUAUUUGAGAAGUGGGCCCGGGGCUCGGGAUUUACCAACUCUGUGAAUUUUAGUACUUUUCUAGCAUUUUUGAUUGGAUUAGGUUUCUUGAACUCAUAUUUAUGUAUUCGUUGAGAUUUUACUAGAUUAUACGCGCGAGGAGGUCGAUACAAGAGGAAAAGGCACAACGCAGUGAUGAUAUGAUGAUAUUGCGCUUGAGCUGUAAGAGCCCCUCUGGAGUAUGUAUACACCCCCAGUGAUCGCCGUCGACGUUAAAUGGAUCAGGUUGUACGCCGCAGCGGGAUUAUGUGCAUUGCAUUGCAUUCGUGCAUUUUACUUGACUGAUAUACUUGAUAUUGCUUUGUUGUUGGUUCAUAGUUAAGGUGUCGGGCUGCUAGUUUUAGCUUUACUUUCUGGCAUUUCGUGGAUUUCUUAUCUUUAGACAUUUUAUAUCCUUAUUACUCACUGAGUCAGUAGUACUCUCCCCUACUCCCUGCACCUUGUGUACAGAUUUAGGUACAUCGGAGGCUUAGCUGAGCAGUCGUUGUCUCCAGAGAUUUUUCAGAGUUUUUGAGGUAGCUGCUUGAGGUUCGCAGGACCUGGCUACUCUUCCUAUUUCAGUUUUAUUUAUAUAUACUUUCCAGACUUGUGUAUUUUGUUCAUAUAUUUUAUCCAGUUUUGUUUAGAGGCUCUAAACUCGUGACCCCAGAUCUUAUGGGAGUGUCUUAGCAGUUAUUCGAAUUUCUCCGUAUUAUUUCAUAGUAAAUAUUGGAUUAUUAUUCUAUAACUACUAUAUUUUUCCUUAAAUUGUUGGUUUUAAUAUUUAUGUCGAAAUGAGAGCGAUUGUUGGUCAGGCUUGCCUAGCGCUAUAGUUGGGCGCCAUCACGGCCGGGUUUGGGUCAUCACAAAAAUACAGUAUAUUUCCAAAAUUGUACAGAAAUCAUUUAUUUCGUAAUUGCAACUCAGUUUCAGUAAAAACCUUUUCUUUCUAAAACAUCUUCCAAUAGUUUCAAAUGAGUGAUAGAAAUAGUGAGUAAACAUGAUGGAAAUGUAAACAGGCCCUCGGGAAAAACAUGUACCAUAUACCGCCCCUCGGGCAAAAUAUCAACAGAACCAGCCCCCCGGGCUACCUCACAAUCACUUGUAAUCAGCCUCUGGGGCAUAACAUGAAUCAAGAACCACCCCUCGAGCAAAACAUGGAUCAAGAACAGUCCCUCGGGAAAUAGUAUAAAUCGACAACAGCCCCUCGGGCAACAAUAUGAAUCAACAACAGCCCCUCGGGCAACAAUAUGAAUCAACAACAGCCCCUCGGGCAACAUCAAAUCUCUUACACUAAGUACACGCGCUCACCGUAGGUGUACAGACUCCGGAGGGAAUUCUACAGCUCAAGAGCUACAAUAUGCACGGACAACUCACGUGCUAUCACAUACCCGUGCUCACUAGGGGUGUGAAGACUCCUGGAGGGGCUCCUACAGUCCAAGCUAUAACAAGCCAUCUCGUGGCAUUAUAAGUUAGGCCUUCAGCAUCACAUAAUCACAAGCCACCUCGUGGCAUAAAUCAAUCAGGUCCUCGGCCUCACAUAUAUCAUGAAUCAGUAACAACUUGCUGCGGCGUGCAGUCCGAUCCCAUAAUAUCCUCGCAAUAUAGGCCAUCGGCCUCACUCAGUCAGAAAAACCUCUCAAGCCACUCGAGCUAAUAGUAAAAAUAGGGUGCUCAGCCCAAAAUAUCAUUUAAAGUUUCAAAAUGGAGUAAAUACGGUUGAUUUAUGAAAUCAGUAAAAUACAACAUGACUCAGUAUAGAUAUUAAGUCAAAAUAGUGAGGAAUAGUAAUAAAAAUCCCUAAGGGUCCAAAACAGUUGGCAUAAGGCCCAAAUAUGAUAUUCAGCCCAAAACAUGGUAAUACUUUCCAACACAAUAAUAUCAAAUAGUUUUCAAUCAAAUACGACGGACUAAGUCAUGAUCCCCAAUUGUGCACGACCCCACGCUCGUCAUCUAGCGUGUGCGUCACCUCAAAGUAGCACAAAGAUUUAAAAUUUGGGGUUUCAUACUCUCGGGACAAUAUUUACAAUAAUUACUUACCUCAAACCGGUCCAAACUCUAGCCCGCGAUGCCUUUGCCUCUCGAAUCAGCCUCCAAAUGCUCAAAAUCGAACCAAAAUCAGUAUAGUAUCAUCGAUAUAUGCUAAUGGAAUAAAGCCUAGGCGAAAGUAAUCAAAUUAACUCAAUAAUCCUAAAAUUGCUCAAACUCGGCCCCCGGGACCACGUCUCGGAAUCCCAUCAAAUCUCAAAAUCUGAUGACCCAUUAAAUUACAAGACUAUCCAUACUAUUUUCACUCAAUUUGGACUUCAAAUCGACUUUCAAAUCCCAAAAAUUCAUUUGAUGAAGUUACACAAUUUUCCCCAAAUUUUCAUCCCAAAUCUCUACUUAAAUGAUGAAUCCAACGUUAUAAUCAUGUAUUUUAGCCAACAUUGAGUUAAAAUCACUUACCCCGAUGGUUUUCUUGAAAAUCCCUCAAAACAUCACCAAAGCCCGAGCUCUCUAGGUAAAAAUAUGAAAUAAAACCCGAAAUCUCGUAUAUAUAGUGCACCUCUCGGAUUCCCAUCAUCGCUGACCGCGGUAGAACCACCGCUGUCGCAGUAAAACCACUGCUGCCUCGCUGCUGUGUAUACAUAGACAUAACAUAUUAUUUUGGUCAUUACUUUCUCUAAUAAUGUUCAAAUUAUUAUUUCUUUACCUUUCUAGAAACUAGACACGAAGGGCUACAACUUUCGUUUAUCAAAUAUCUCAGAACUCCUUGUAGAUCAAAACAUAUAGGCUUCCGAAGUUGGACUAGCGGCCCUGCAGAUUCUUCAUGAGCGCGGUCCCAGACCAUUUUCCACCCCAUCGGUAAAUUUAAGCGCCAUAACCAUUAACUGAAUACUGGUAAUGCCCGAACUCGCUCAAUACUCACCCGAAACACACCAGAGGCCCUCGGGACCUCAACCCUACAUACCAACACCUCCCAUAAUAUCAUUAAAACUUAGUCGAGCCUUCGAAUCAUUCAAAACAACACCAAAUCAACUUCGGAUGCAAGCUUAAGAACUUAGGAAGUUUCAAAUUACACAAACAAUGCUGAAACCUAUCAAUUCAACUCCAAAUGACCUAAAUUUUGCACACAUGUCACAAAUGACACUACGGACCUACUCCAAUUUUCAAAAUUCCAUUCCGACUCCGAUAUCUAGAUUUUCACUACCAACCGAAAAGCGCCAAAAUUCCAAUUUAACCAAUUCAAGCCUAAAUCUACCACGGGCCUCCAAAUUACAUUCCGAACACACUCCUAAGUCCCACCCAACAGAGUUAAUCCAAUCAUAAAAAUUCAAAUCCGAGAUCGAGUACUAAAAGUCAAAGACUUGGUCAAACCUCUCAAAUUUUAAGCCUUAAGCUGAGAAUCAUUCUUCCAU
rnacentral:lncRNA from 1 species